UUGUGUUUGACUUCAAAUUUUGAGUCAUAUUUGCAAAAACCCAAAAAUCAAUCAAAAUAAUAGAAACAGAGAACAAAACAUCGUGAAUAUAAUCACUAAAAUUGCAUAUAUAGAUUGCGUUAUGAGCGUUGUCCAAAAAAAAAAAAGAUUGCGUUAUGAGUUUCUAAGGAGCUGAGCAGCUGUACCAACAAGGAUGAAUCCGAAAGCAUUUUGACGGUGAAUAAGUUUUGAAAAAAAAAUUUCUAUAAAAAUACCAAGUUGUUAAUAUAUAUAACUGUACUUAACAAAAAAUACAAUACUGAAAGAUUCUUGAUUAUGACAAUGGAUUUAAGCAUAUUAGUUUAUUCAUGUAUCCCCUUUAUAUUAAUUGAAAAGUCACUUAAGUGAUUUCUGCUGGCGUAUCGCUGAUAGGUGAACUUUCAAAUUAAUUGUUAUAAUUUGGUUAAUUUGGUUGGUUGAUGGUUUUUAUUUUUUUAUUUAUUUAAUUAAAGUUUUUAAAAGGAAACUAAUCAUAUAAUUACCUAAUCUAAUAUAUGUUUCCAAACAUACAAGUAAACAUCUUAAAUAUAGAUGAACUAGGUGAUUUUUCCGUGCUCAUGCACGGAUAUAAACAUUUAUAAAAUAAAUAUAUAAUUGAUUGUUAUUUAUUUUUAAUUUUAAUUAAUUUAUAAUUUGUAUGCAUAAUUUAUUUUUAAUUCUAAAUUAAUUUAUAAUUUGUAUUCAUAAUUUAUAUUGAUAAUAUUAUAUUACUUUAAUUAGACAUAUGAUUUUAGAUAUGUUAUAUCUAUUCGGUUUUGUUAUUUUUUACAGUCGAUUUAGUUAUCAUUUAGGUAUAUUAGAUUGCAUAAAUUUCUCUAAAUUUCACUAUAAUUAUUUUUUAUUUUAAAUAUAUUAAAAUUGUGAUUUUUCUUAUUUGCAUUUACGUUGGUUGUUGUCUUAGAUAUGUAAAUAUAUUUAAGAAAGAUUAUGUAUAAGUUAAGAUAUAUUGUGCUUAGAAUGAAAUAUAAAAUAAACUAAAGUGUUUGAUUCCAAAUUACAUAAAUUAAUAUAACGAUAAUAUUCUACAUUCUCAUGCAUAUAUAUAAAUUUUACGAAAGAACUAAAUUAUAACAGUUGGUUAAAUUUCUAUUUUCAUUUGUUAAUAUGUUUUGAGUCAUCCUAUAAUUUACAUUUAUAAAAUAAAUUAUUAUUAUAAAAUUAUAUAUAUAUAUAUAUACUAAUUGUAGUUAAAUCUAUAAUUUUGUAAGUUGGAUUAAUCGAGUCACUCAUAUUGUGAGUAUUUUGAAUUACAUAUAUUCUUUCAAAUUAAAACUGAAGUAUAAUUAUUUUUUAUUAUAAUUAAGUAAAAUCAAAUUAAUUUUAUGUAUCAUUUAAAUGUGCAUGUAGUUUCAUAAUAUUUAUCAAGUUAUAUGUAGAUUUGUUUUUAAAAAUAUUAGAAAUAAAACGAUGAUCAAUAUGAAGUUACAUACAAAAGUAACUAAUACAUUUGGAAGCUCAUGAACACAUAUUAAUAUUUAAAAUAUUUUACAAAUUCUAAAUAAUUUUAUGCCUUAGAUUUAUUAAACGGUAAACUGAAAUUAAUUUUAAAUAAUCGAUUGUUUUGGUAUUUUAAUUAUAGUCAUAUUAAGUUCCACGAAAAUAAAAGCAUAAAAUUUUAAAGCAAAUUUAAUAUUAUGAAAACAAAUAAUUUUAAUAAUGAUAAAAUAUAAUAUAUCAACCUUGUUAAAGUAUAUAGUGUUGUGUUAUUUUAAAAUAUUUUGUAACUAUUUGAUUAAAAGAUUUUAUUGUUAAUUUUUUUUUUAAUAUCUCUUAAAAAUAAACAUUUAAAAAAAAUGUGUGAUUAUAUUUUAAAAAUCAUAUUAUAUAAGUAAAAUAUAAUUUAUUAAUUUUUUUCUGUAAUUGAAAUAUAUUAUAGUCAACUAAAUAUUAGAAAAAGAAAUAAAACAUUUCAAUAAUACUAAUUAUAAACUAUUUUUUGUCAAUUAAUCAUAUAUCAUUUUAUGUUAGGGAAAAUUACAUAUUUAACACUUUCAUGCUACCACUUUUCAUUUAUACCACCACUAAAGGGACAUUUUCAAAAAUAUCUUCUUCGUUAAGCGGCAAAAGACUCUUAUGCCCUUAUUCUUUAUAUAUAUAAUAAAUAAAUAUUUAAAUAAAUAAAAAUGUGAAAAAUAAAAAAUAGUUUUUUUAAUUUUUUUCUGAAUUAUACUAUUUUGAAAUUCAAACUCGAAACCCUAAAACUCAACUCUAAACCCUAAACCAUCAAUCAUAAACCCUAUUUUUUUUAAAUACGAACCCUAAACCCUAAACCAUUAAUCGUAAACCCUAUUUUUUUCUUAAAUAAACCCUAAACCCCCAAACAUCAACUCUAAUCUCUAAACUCCGAAACAUCAACUCUGAACCCUAAACCCUAAACCUUCAACUCUAAACCCUAAAACAUCAACUUUAAACCCUAAACCAUAAAUCUUCAACUCUAAACCCUAAAACAUCAACUCUAAACCCUAAACCCUAAACUUCAACUCAAAACCCUAAAUCAUCAACACUAAACCCUAAACUAUCAACACAAAACCCUAAACCCUAAAAAGUAAACUCUAAACCGUAAACCCUAAAAAUUAACCCUAAACCCUAAAACAUCAACUCUAAACCCUAAACCUUAAACCUUUAACUCUAAACCCUAAGCCUUAAAUCCUAAACCCUAAACCCUAAAACCCUAGAGUUGAUGUUUUUACGGUUUAGAUUUGAAGAUUUAGGGUUUAGGGUUUACGUUUAGGAUUUAGAGUUGAUGUUUUAAGAUUUAGAUUUGAAGGUUUAGGGUUUAGAGUUCGAAUUUCAAAAAAAAUAUAAGGUUUAGGGUUUAGAUUUCGAAUUUCAGAAAAAUAUAAGGUUUAGGGUUUAGGGUUUACGCUUAGGGUUUAAAGUUGAUGUUUUAGGGUUUUGAUUUGAAGGUUUAGGGUUUAGGGUUUAGAGUUGAUGUUUCAGAGUUUAGGUUUUAGAGUGAAGAUUUAGGGUUUAGGGUUUACGUUUAGGAUUUAGAGUUGAUGUUUUAAGAUUUAGAUUUGAAGGUUUAGGGUUUAGAGUUCGAAUUUCAAAAAAAAUAUAAGGUUUAGGGUUUAGAUUUCGAAUUUCAGAAAAAUAUAAGGUUUAGGGUUUAGGGUUUACGCUUAGGGUUUAAAGUUGAUGUUUUAGGGUUUUGAUUUGAAGGUUUAGGGUUUAGGGUUUAGAGUUGAUGUUUCAGAGUUUAGGUUUUAGAGUUGAUGUUUCAUGGUCUAGGGUUUAGAGUUGAUGAUUUAGGGUUUAAAGUUGAUGUUUUAUGUUUAGAUUUAAGGUUUAGGGUUUACGUUUAGGAUUUAGAGUUGAUGUUUUAGGGUUUAGAUUUGAAGUUUUAGGGUUUAGGGUUUAGAGUUGAUGAUUUAGGGUUUAGAGUUGAUGUUUUAAGUUUUAGGGUUUAGGGUUUGAAGUUUUAGGGUUUAGGGUUUGGGGUUUAGGGUUUAGAGUUGAUGUUUCAUUGUUUAGGGUUUAGAGUUGAUGAUUUAGGGUUUAGAGUUGAUGUUUUAAGUUUAGAUUAGUUAACCAUAUGUUUUUUUUUUGUCAAAAGUAAUCAAAAGAUUAUAAAUGUCUUUUACCCUUCAUUAAAGAUGAGGGUAAAAGUGGUUAGUGUAAACAUGAAAAGUGGUACUUUGAAAGUGGUAUUUUUGACAAUUUCCCUAUAUGUUACUUAAUUAUUUUAUGUAAUCAUCUAAGAAAAUAGAUAAAUAUAUAAAAAUUAUUUCUAUUACUUUGAAAAUAUAUACUUUUGUAUUGUCUAAAAUUAUGUUUUAAAAUAAAUAAUAUUUAUUUUUCUAAUAUCAAGAUUAUGUGUGUGAAUGUUGUUUUAUGAAAUCACUUUAUAUGCAAAUAUAUAUAUUUUAAUCUAAGAAAAUAUAGAUAUAAAUAAAUAUUUUAUUACUUCAAAAAUAUAUUUUAUGUUAUUGAAAAAUAUUUUUUAAAUGGAAUAUUUCUAUUUUGUGAACUUUCCUUUAUAAUGAAAUCAUAUUUUAUAUACAUAUAUUUUCGUUUUUAAAUUUGUUUUACACCUUUAUAAAUGUUUCCUUUUUUAUUAUAUAUGUUAUUUUGAAAAUUUUAAAAAGGGAAAUAUAUAAAAAAUUCAAUAAUAAUAUUUAAAUAUAAUAUUUUUAAUUCAUUAAGGAUAUCAGUGUAAUCAACCAUCGUGAGAGUUAACGUGAGCGCGACACAUAAGAAAUUGGCUUCUCAAAUAAUAUUAUAGAGAUUAAUAUAAUUUAUUUAUAGAAACAAUUAAAUAUCAUAUAUUACAUUAUAUAAAUUGAUAAUAUACUUUUAAAUAUAAUUCACAUGCUUUUCCUAGAGUUAAUACUCUAUUAAUAUAAUAUACCUUUGAUUAUAAUAAAAUUGGCAUGUUUGUUUUGAAUAGUAAAAAAAUGAAUGAGACAUAAGUAAAAAAACAUGAGGGAAGAAUAAUAAAAUAUGUUUGUUGUGUUCUUGGUUAUUUUAUAUUCUUUUGUAUUUAAUUUUAUUUGUCGAGAUGCAUGUAUUUUUGUAUUACUAUAAAUGUGAACUAAUUAGGUUUAAGCGUUUUUAAAACAUAGUGAUAAAUUGAGUAAGAAAAAUCAAUAAAAAUGACAUGUUAUACAAUUGUUAAAGUUAAAGAUAGAAAAUAUAAUGUAAAUUGCAAGUAGGAUAAAUUAUUUAAAAAUAAUGAGAUGUAUAUUUUGCGGUAUAAUAAACUUUUAAAAUGUACAAUAAUAGAAUUUUAACAAAUUUUAUACAAUAAAAAUAUUUUAUUUUGAUAUAAUAUAUAUGUACAAUAAUAAAACUUUAAAAUAACAACAUUUCAUUAUUUAAAAUUUUAAAAAAGAGUUUUUGUUAUUUAAAAUUAGAAAAUUAGAAAAUUACGCAACAUUUCUUUAUUUAAAAUGUACAAUAAUAAAACUUUAAAAUAACAACAUUUCGUUAUUUAAAAUUUUGUAAAAUAUUUUUUCUUAUUAAUUAAUCAGAUUUAAUUAUAAUAUGUAUGUUUUAAAAGAAGAAAUGGUUUGUUUAACCCUUUCAAAUUUUAUGUUAAACACUAAAUAAAAAAUGUGUGAGAAAGUGUGAUUUGUGAUUUGACAAAAUUAUGAGAGAAAUUGCUUAGACUACCAUUUUCCUAAUACAUGUUUUCAUGUUUAUAUUAACCAAAUUUAUCAUUGGUUUUAAAGAGAUAAAUCAUACUAUAUAUUAGUUGAGAAGUCACUUAAGUGAUUUUUUUUAUGUAUUUAUCGUACGUUAAGUUUUAAAAAUAGUUAUAAUUUGAUUGAUUGUUGACGUUUAUUAGUUAUUUAUUUUAAUCAUAUCUAAAAAUAAAAAGUAACUAUAGAACUAACUAAUAUAAAUUACCAAAUAACACAAGUAAUAUUACAAAUAAUGAUUUAUGGUAACUAAUUGUAGAAUUGGAGAACUAAUAUAUAUGUUUUAUCAAUUUCUUUUUAUUUAUCAAUUAUUUAUAUAUAGUUAAAUAAAAACUUUAACUUUUUUUAAUUGAAAGAAAUUUAGUGGGUAUAUAUUCUUAUAUAAAAGAAUUAGAUUUGUAGGUAAAGAAUUAUUAGAACUUUUUAUGUUUUAUAAAGUCCACAAAAAACGUUUACAAAAUAUCUUUAUGAUAAAAGCAUCUGAUCAUUGUAUUGAUCCUACACAAAAAAAAAAUCUCUUUUUUAUUUCUUGAAAGCUAGAGUAUUCCUGGUUAUUUCACGUGUUAAAAUAAAAUAUAAAGUAAUUCUACAACCAAUUAUCUUAUUUAAUUAUAACAUUGCUUUUAUGUGAGAGAAAUAUUUAUAAUGACUAAGGUUUACGUUGUUGAACUAUUUUAAAUCUCAUAGAUCUUCCAAAAAUAUAUACUGAAAUUUUUGAUUAUCUAACUAUUUAAAAUUAAAAAUUAAAAAUUUUAAUUUUAAUUAUUAUUCAAAAAUUAUAACAAUGUAAACAUAAUAUAUAUUUCUUCAUAUAAUAUAAUUACCCGCAAAAUUGCGGUCAAACACCUAGUAGACUAUUGUUUCUAAAAUUCAAAUUAUUAAAAAAAUUAAUAAGCUGGGAUUCUCUACAAGUACGAAAUAAGACACGAGUGUUCAUUAUCUCUAAUUUUGUUUCAUUAAUGUCCUCUUUCACCGACUACACAAGGCAAUUCAAAAAGGAAAUAUGAUUAUCAGUAUAAGUGUAGAGAUUUGAACAUCACGCAGUUGAGCUUUGCCGAUGAUUUAAUUUUCACAGCUGGGUAAAUAGCAAUUUUAAUAGUAGUGUGUCUGUUCUACAAGAUUUUGAAAAAUAGGUUUAGCUAUUAACAUGAGCAAAGCAGCUCUACGUACGAUGUAGACUCCAUCAGAUACAUAUCGAUUUAUUUCUGAUGGAUCAAGAAUAGAUAGUUGUCUCAUUAAUAGAUAGAAAUAGGCUCAAAGACCUUAUUAUUGAUUCCCUCUGAAGACAGAUCGAUCUAAAGAAGAUCAUUGCUUACUCCUCAGUAGCCCAUAUGAAUCUGGUGACUAUUGGUAUGUUUAGUCGGACGGCGGCCGUUAGGUCACCUAUUUUGAGUUAUGGACACACAAAGCCAAAACAUGUGUGUCGGGCGUGCGACCCAUCAACCUACUAGCAAUGGGGGAGAGCAGUAGGUCAAAAUGAAAGAAUAAAUAAGCACGAGGAAAUGCUAGGCUGAUCAAAAGAAGAAGGAUUAGCGAAAAGUAUAUCUAACUUUCUUCUCCAAAGAAUUGACAGAAACCAUGAAAUUCUAAUUGAUCAGCUUCCAAUCUUGUAUUUGGGGUUAUCUCUAACUACCAAGAGCAUGAUUUUUUUUCUCAAAGGGCAGGACUCUUUUUUUUUUUCUCAAAGGGCAUGACUCUUGUGGACUAUGAACCUUCAAUUUUUUUGUUUGUUUUGAUAAAGUUUUAUCGGCUAUUUGGUUGGUCUCCAGACUAACGCUCUUAGCGCAAUAGAGCUCUUAGCGCAAUAAAGUGGACUAACCUAUCAUCUUUUAUCUCAUGGGCAGGUCAAUUACAACUCAUUCAAAGAGUAAUCGUAAAUAUCACUAACCUACGUUGUUCUGACUUUCUCUGGCCAAGGUCUCCCCAUACUACAAUGGAAACAAAAGUAGUGUGGAUAGGUAUAGAUGUAUAGUAGAUAAGCGAGAAGGUGGCAUGAGGAUAAAAAAAUAGUUCAAGGACCCAUCUAAAGAAUUGCAUGUAUAAAAAAAAUAGUGCGUUAUUGCUUUUUGUGUUUUUUGGUAAACUGCGUUAUUCAACUGUUUGUGUGAUUGGUGACACUUGCUCAAUUAGGCACUUCCCGCACCAUGGUUACCAAUCACUACCAAAGUCUCACUACAAGUUUUUUUACUCCAAAAGUUUUUUUUUUUUUUAAUAAACUACUUCUUUUAUUUCAUAUGUAACCGAAACCAGGCCCAACGGGCUUACAGAAAACUUAUAAACUACAAAAAGACUUACCAGAAAAAUGAUGGACAACCUAACUGGUACUGACCCUGCUAAAAAAGAGAAAACCAGGUGCCAAGAGGGGUUAAUGAUGAAACUGAGGACGAAUUCAAGCGAGUUGAUCUUGAAAGGGGAACAAGUCUAAGUUUGAUAGUGUCUUUGAUUUCGGUAAUGAGAGUGUCUGAUGUUCUCUGGACAGAGGAAUGAAGUCGAGCGUUACGUUCCCUCCAGAUAGCGUACAUUGACGCUUGAUAGAGGAGUCGAACUAUCAGAGUGACGUGAGGCUCUGAAGAGGGUCUUGUCAUCCACAUCACGAUCGUGUCAUAGGUAUUAGGGGCCUGGAGGUUCGCUCGAGUAAGAAAAUGGUUCCAUAUAGUGAAGCUAUAUAUGCAGUUGAAGAACAGAUGCUCCCGAGAUUCUUCAUGGGUAGAGCAAAGCACACACGAUGCAGGAACAUCAAGACACCAACGCCUCAUAUUCCAAAAGUUAAUGUAGAGGCUAUUUGAAAAUUCUGGAUAUCUGUGGAUUGUUUGGUCUAGACACUACCUCUUUCGUUAUUCUUCUUUUUGAAAACAUCACAAGAAUUUUAGUGGAUAAAAAAGUCCACCUUACCUCGUCACUUUGAUUCUUUCCAAGCAUAUAGGACUUGUAUUUCUCGUGAUGGAACAGAAUAGGCGAAGUCUAGGGACGAUAUGAUCUGUUUUUUUUUCUUAAUUUUUAUCAUAUAUUUAUCAUAUUAGAUUUGCAUUGGCCUAUUAUUAUAUGAAAAUAUGCGUAAAUAAUACAUUUACAAAUUAAUAUAUAUAUAUAUUAUAUAAAUUGACAAUUUAUAUUUUACCAUUUAAAUAAAUAUAAUUUCAUAUUUAUGAAAAUAUGUCAAUUCAUUAAUCUAGUAAAUUUGAUGGAAUAACCCGUAAAUAUUUAUCGUAUUAGAUUUGCGUUAAACUAUUAUUAUAUGAAAUAUGCGUAUACUAAUAUAUUUACAUAUUAAUUUAUAUUUUAUUUAUAUAUUAUAUAAAUUGACAAUUUAUAUUACACCAUUUAAAUAAAUAUAUUUUCAUAUUUAUGAAAAAUAUGUUAAUACCUUAAUCUAGUAAAUUUGACGGAAUAGCCCGCAAAAGCUUUAUUAUUUUUCCAUUAUAGUUAUGAGGAAUUUGCCAAAUAUGACUCAAAACAUGAUUUUAAAUAGGCCUGGGCAUUCGGGGUCCCAAUCGGGUUUCGGUUUUGUCCAAUCGGGUCUCGGUUUUUUGGGUUUAUCAAAAUCAGCUCCAUUCGGAUUAUAUAAAAAUUCAGUUCGGGACCGGUUCGGGUUUUAUCGGGUUCGGAUCGGGGUUAGUAAAUCUUCAAAGAACCGGUACAACCCGGUGUACUUUCGGGUUUUGGGUUCCAACCGGUUCUUCGAUUUUAAAGUACUUGAUUUAUACCUAUUUUGUAACCAAAACAUAAGUAAAAUCGGUUCUUCGGGUUUAAAGUACUUGAUUUGUACAUAUUUUGUAACUAAAACAUAAGUAAAAUCGAAUUCGGUUUUGUCCAAUCGGGUCUCGGUUUUUUGGGUUUAUCAAAAUCAGCUCCAUUCGGAUUAUAUAAAAAUUCAGUUCGGGACCGGUUCGGGUUUUAUCGGGUUCGGAUCGGGGUUAGUAAAUCUUCAAAGAACCGGUACAACCCGGUGUACUUUCGGGUUUUGGGUUCCAACCGGUUCUUCGAUUUUAAAGUACUUGAUUUAUACCUAUUUUGUAACCAAAACAUAAGUAAAAUCGGUUCUUCGGGUUUAAAGUACUUGAUUUGUACAUAUUUUGUAACUAAAACAUAAGUAAAAUCGAUUCAGAAAUAAGAAAAAAACAUCAAACAUGAUCAUUCAAAGUCAAACGAAAGGUAUACGUUGUUAUUGAUAGAAAGAAAACCAAUAAAUGAAAUCAUAAAACGAAAAAUUAAGUUAUCAUGAAAUGAAAAAAAUUAUUCAAUGAAAAUAAAACCAAAAUCUAAAAAUUUCAAGCCUCAACCGCCACUUUCAACCAUCAACCUUCAUGUAGUAGAUAGUUAUUGUAGAUGUUUAAUAAUAUCUUAGUGUAUUUUGGCUACAUAUCAGGAAUUGAGAUCAUGUUUGGUACAAGUUCUUUUUUGGCAUUUUGAAUGUUUCGGGUUCUAUCGGAUAUCCAUUUAAUUUUGGGUUCGGUUCGGAUAAUACCCAUAACCCAAAAUACCAUAAAACAAGAUCCAUUCGGUAUUUAUGUCGGGUUCGGAUCGGUUCGGAUUCAUUUUCAUCGGAUCGGAUUCGGUUCGGAUUUUCGGGUUCGGUUUAUUUGCCCAGCCCUAAAUUUAAAUGCAAAAGUAUAUCCAAACUUGAAUCAAUUACAAAAGUAAUCCAAAGUCUUGUGAAAUUACAACAGCCCCUUAUACCAUCUAUGCUAGAGCAUUAUCAAAAAAGUAUAUUUGUACAUCAGUUUACAUAUACCAAAAGAGUGUUGAAACACUUUAACAUGUAUAAAACAGCUCCUUUUAGCACCUGAUAGUCGUUAAAUCACUUAAUGUCAAAAAUGAUCCAUUUCGACCAUCUGAGGAAAAUGAAGAAAUAUUUGGUCCUGAAAUUUCAUAUUUAAGUGCAACUGGAACUCUCAUGUAUCUUUUAAAUUGCACAAGACCUGAUAUAUCAUUGUUGUCAAUCUUUUGGCAAGAUUUAGUUCGUCUCCUUCUCGAAGACAUUGGAAUGAAAUUAAAUAUGAUAUUUCGAUAUCUCCAAGGGACUAUUGAUUUAAGUUUAUUUUAUCCUAAAAACUCUAAAGGUCAAAUGAUUGGUUACGCAAAUGCAUGCUAUUUUUCAGAUCCACAUAAAGUUCGAUCAUAGACGGGAUACGUUUUUCACAAUCGGAAGCACCGCUGUAUCCUGGCGUUCUCAGAAACAGACACUUGUGGCUACUUCUUCAAAUCAUUCUGAAAUUAUUGUACUCCAUGAAACAAGUAGAGAAUGUGUAUGGCUGAGAUCAAUAAAUCGACAUAUCCGGUCAAGUAGUAGGAUUAGUGAAGAUACGGUCCCAACAAUUUUAUAUGAAGAUAAUGCGGUUUGUGUUGCUCAAACAAAAGAAGGAUAUAUAAAAAGUGAUAGAAGGAGACAUAUACUUCUUAAGUUUUUUUCAUACACUCAGGAGCUCGAGAAGAAUAAAGAAAUUGAAUUAAUGUAUGUCCGCUCAUGUGACAAUGCUGCUGAUUUCUUCACAAAAUCACUUCAUACCUCGGUGUUCAAGAAGCAUGUCUAUAAUAUAGGAAUGUGGCACUUACAAGACCUAUAAAACUGUUCAAUCGAGGAGAGCAUACGCAGUUGUACUUGUUAUACCUUGAUAUGGUUUUUCCUACUGGAUUUUCCUAAAAAAAAUUUUAAAGAGGCAACAAGGACGUUAAGCCAGAGAAAAUAACGACACCGAUCAAUAAGAAAGAGAGAGUGUUACAAACGUCAAAUAACACAGCAAUACGAAGAGGAGGAGAGGAGAGACGACUCAAUUGUUGAGUUUGUAAACAAAUGUAGGAUCUGCUGUCACUAUUUACACUAACUUCUAAUUUUUCAUCUCUAUAUAAACGAAUGAAGUUAUACCAUUGUAACUCGCAUCUUACAUCUUUUUUUUCUCUCUAUAUUAAACUCUCUCACUCGUAUAUUUAUCAUAUAUCAGUAUUAUUUUUUUCCUGCGGGUAUAAAAUUUUGUCUCUAUUAAAAAUUUUCCGAUGUAAUAAAAUUAUAAGUAUUUUUACAACAAAAAUCAGAUUAAUAUGUUCGGACUACUAAAGUUGUUAAUGAAGCAAUAAACAAAAAGAAUAUGUUAAAAAGAAAAGAAAAGUAUAAAAACUAAAAAUCAAAAUACGUUGGCGACUUUAUAGCACCGCCGAUGACUAUACACUUUAGAGCAUUGACUUUGAAGCAAAGCCUACCUGUAUAGUAUAUCAAAACACAGCAUUAAUCAGUCUCUCUCUCUCUCUCUCUCUCUCCCCAAAUCAAAACAAAACAACGUUAAAUCCCAAAUCCUUCCUUGGUUGAAAUCUCGUAAAGGCAAAACCUCUAUCCUUUCUCCUCACCGAGAUUCGUCCUCUCGCUUCAUGGGUCUGUUCUCCAAUCUUCGAGGACCCAGAAUCGGAGCUGCCCACGACGAAUUGCCUCUAGCAAAUGGCUCUUCUUCUUCUUCGUCGUCGUCUCACUCUUCAUCAAUCAGGCGAAAGCUGUCGAAUUUAUUACCAAUCUGCGUGGCUCUGGUAGUCAUCGCCGAGAUCGGGUUUCUGGGUCGGCUCGAUAAGGUCGCUUUGGUCGAUACGUUGACCGAUUUCUUCACUCAGUCUCCGUCGCUCUCUCAGCCUCCUCCGCCGAGUAGAUCCGAGAGGAAGAUCGGUGUGGUGGGGACGGAGAAGAUCUGCGAGGAGUGGUUGACGAGAGAAGACUCGGUAACUUACUCGAGGGACUUUGGUAAAAAUCCAAUCUUUAUCUCCGGUGGUGCCAAGGUAAUCUCCAUUGGAAGAUUGAUUGAUUAGUCAACAUGAAUUAAAAGGAAUAACGCAAAAAAAAAAAAACAAAAAAAAAAAAAAUUGAGGCUUUGAUUGAUCAUAGAGAGUAAUUUGUGAAUUGUGGAGUGAGAUUUGUUCAUAUAGUGUUUGUCUCUCUUUUUAUAAAUGAUAAGAUGCUACUUCUUGUUGAUGGGUCAAUUUGUAGGACUUUCAAUCUUGCUCUGUCGAUUGUACAUUUGAAGCUAGCGCAGGUAAGACACCAGAUGCUACGUUUGGAUUUGGUCAUAAACCUGAAACUCUUGGCAUAAUCCGUUCCAUGGAAUCAGCUCAGUACUAUCCUGAUAAUGAUCUCUCACAGGCACGACGGUGGGUAAGCACAAUCUUUAACGUUUUCUUCACGACAUUUUUUUGUGUACAAGAUGUUGUUAUAAAUGGGCUGACUUUUUUUUUUUAUAUAUAUUCUUUGUUUCAUCAGGAGAGGUUAUGAUGUUGUGAUGACCACUAGUCUUUCAUCAGAUGUUCCUGUUGGGUACUUUUCAUGGGCGGAGUAUGAUAUUAUGGCUCCAGUACAGCCUAAGACCGAGAAGGCUAUUGCAGCUGCUUUUAUUUCCAACUGUGGCGCUCGUAAUUUUCGGUUGCAAGCACUUGAAGCCCUGAUGAGGACUAGAAUCAAGAUUGAUUCUUAUGGUGGUUGUCAUCGAAACAGGGAUGGAAAAGGUAACAUAGAGAUUAGGAACACUGCAUGAUCAACGAGCUAUCAUUUUGAUGUCUUUUGGUUUUGUGAAAUUCAUAUAGUUGACAAGGUUGAAGCACUCAAACGCUACAAGUUCAGUUUGGCUUUUGAGAACACCAAUGAGGAGGAUUAUGUCACUGAGAAGUUCUUCCAAUCUCUAGUUGCUGGUAUGUUUUAGAUUCACUGUCUUUCUCUAUGAGCAUAUCUUAGAAACUCUUCUUUGGUGAGCAACUUGUUCAACGUUUACUCUUCAGGAUCUGUCCCUGUGGUUGUUGGUGCUCCGAAUAUAGAAGACUUUGCUCCUGCUUCCGGCUCAAUCCUUCAAAUCAAGAGUAUGGAAGAUGUGGAGCCAGUUGCAAAGAGAAUGAAGUAUCUCGCAGAUAACCCUGCUGCUUAUAAUCACACACUAAGGUCCAUUUCUUUGCCCUCAAUGAUUGUAUCUGUGUGUAAAUAACUUCUUCUUGAAAGCUUUCAUGUUUGUGUUUUGAUUUAGAUGGAAGUACGAAGGUCCUUCAGAUUCUUUCAAAGCACUUGUUGAUAUGGCUGCUGUGCAUUCUUCUUGCCGUCUCUGCAUUUUUCUGGCUACGAGGAUCCAAGAACAAGAAGAGAAAAGCCCUAGUUUCAAGAAACGGCCUUGCAAGUGCACCAGGGGAGGAUCAGACACAGUUUAUCAUGUUUUUGUUAGAGAAAGAGGCCGUUUUGAGAUGGAAUCCAUCUUUCUGAGGUAAGAAAGCUUUACCUAACUUCCCCACCAAAUAAAAAAACACAUGAUGUGAUUAUGUUUUGACUGAAAUAUACCAAUACAGGGGUAAGAAUCUGACUCUGGAAGCUUUGGAAUCUGCGGUUGUGGCCAAGUUCAAGUCAUUAAAACAUGAGCCGGUGUGGAAGAAGGAAAGGCCUGAAAGCUUAAAAGGAGAUAACGAGCUUAGAGUACACAAGAUUUACCCGCUUGGCCUCACGCAGCGACAAGCUUUGUACAACUUCAAAUUCGAGGGAAACUCGAGUCUAAGCACUCACAUUCAACACAUCCCUUGUGCUAAGUUUGAGGUUGUCUUCGUGUAGUUUCAUUCUCAAAGAUCUAUUUCUCGUCCUUAGUUUUGAAGGCAUUUCUCUCUGUGUUAAAAUCGCAAAAGUGCAAGAAACCGAUUAGAAAAGACAAAACGUCAUUUAAGUUAUGACACUGGUUUGUUUUAGGCAAGAGAUUUCUCUGUGUAAAUCAUUCGGACAUUGCAGAUGAUUUGUUGUUGCUUUCUUGGUGCAUAGAUGUUUGAAGUUUUAGAUGAAUUUGAUAGUUUUUUUUUCUCUUUAGAGUUGGUUGAUUAACCUUUUAAUAUUUUUCAUAGGUUUAUGUUUAAAAAAACCACUUCUCAUUAGGAAAAUUGUCAAUUUGUAUCCCAUCAAUAAAAAUGUACAAUACUAUGCAAAUCUCUCUUAUUAGAAUAAAUAAUAUAAACACUUUAAACUUUUGUUUGGCAACAUAAAUAUCAGUUAAAAAAAUAGUGUUGUUUGAAAACAUGAAUAACAAUAUAUUAAAGAAAAAAAGUAAUGAGAUUAUGUUAUCAAUAAAAAUUGGAAAUUCAUUAUAUUAUGAAAACUAUAUAUAUGGGCAAGUUUUAAAAUAUACGAAAAUGAUUUGCCCAAUCUAAUUAUCUAAAAACAUCCUUGUCUAAAAUAAUCAUAAAAACAAUUUAAAUUUUACAUACAUAUUUCAAAUCAAAAUAUUAAUUUAAAAUUAAUUUAUAUCAAAAAUUGAUUUUACUAAAAUGUUUUUUAUAACCAUUAUAAAAAUGUUUUAAAUAUAUUUAAGAAAAAUACAAUACAAAGCAAUUUCAAACACAAACGUAAAUUAUGAUUUUAUAUUUAAUAUUAAGUUUUAAAAAUAUAAUAUACAUGAUUAUUUAUAUGAUAAUACGUAUAAAAUACUAUUAAUUAUAUAAUUACUUAUAUGAUGGUAGGUAAAAACACACGAUUAAUUAUAUAAUGACACAUAUAUGAUAUCUGAUAGUGACAUGAAAAAUAAAUAACAACAUAUUUUUGCAAUAUUAUAUCUUAUUAAAGUAGAAGUACCUUUGGGAAUGUUUGGAAACAAGAAUAACAUAAUUAAAGAGAAAUAUAGUGUUGUUUGAAAAUAUGAAUAGCAAUAUAUUAAAAAAACAAUUAAUGGGCUUAUGUUAUUAAAAAAAAAUUGAAGACCAUUAUAUUUUUAUAAAUUAUCUGUUAAGACCAGAUUUAAAAUAUACGAAAAAUGACUCAUUCUAAUUACUUUUUUUGUGCAACUGGUCCAAUAUAAUUAACAAAAAACAUAUUUUGUCUAAAUUAAUCAUUAAACAAAAUUCAAAACAAAAAUUGAUUCAAAAAUAUACAUGUAUUCAAAAAUUGAUUUUGGCUAAUUUAUUUUCCAAUAACCUUUAUAAAAUUGUUUUCAAUAUAUAUAAAAAAUACAAUACAAAAGAACUAAUAGAUUGAGUAAACAUUAUUUCUAAUUUUCUUAUGGACCACCGAAAUAGAAUUAGGUAUACAAUACUAGAAAUAGCUAUAAUAUUUGGGUUACAAUAUCAAAUAAACGAUGAAACAAAAAAAUUAAUAUUUGUAUUACAAAUACAAUAAUAGUCAAACAAUAAUAUAUAACGGGACCAUAAUUUUUAAACUCCAACAAUUACCAAUUAGUUAUAAAUUUAUAAUGUUCUUACAAAUUAAAGCAAACACCCGUGUAGACGCACGGAUCAAGAUCUAGUACUGUAUUAACACAUGAUCCAAUUAUAUAUUUAUGAGUGAUUUGUUUCUUAAAAAAAAUAUUAUUAAUUACCAUAUAUUUUGACCAAUAAUUAUUAGGAGAAAUAUCCUAACAAAAGCAUAAAAUUAUAUUUACAUAACGUAUAAAAUAGUUGACAAAAAAAACAUAACGUAUAAAAUAUAUGCAAUACCUUUUUAUUCGCUACUUGAAUAUUUAAGACUAUUUUAUAAUUAUAAAAACAAACGGAUAAACUUUAAGCAACACUAUGCAUCUAGACUCUAUGAUUUUUAGAGAAUCAGAAAAAAGAAUUUACAAAAGAAAAAAGACGGAACAAAAAAUAUGUGAGGUAAUUAUUUCCAAAUUUCAAAACUUAGAAAUAUUAUUCGAUAAAAAAUUAAAAUAGUAGAGUAAAUAUUAGGGGUGGUCGUUCGGGUACCCGCGGGUCUAUUCGGGUUUCGGGUUUUCAGAGUCAAAGAUUUCAGCUUCAUUCGGGUAUUUCUAAGUUUCGGUUCGGGUUCAGUUCGGAUCUUUGCGGGUUCGGUUCGGGUUCGGAUAACCCACUAAAACUAUUUUAAAAUUUUGAAAUUCAUUAUAUACUUAAAUUUCUCAAAAUCUAUAAACAAAAUAAUAUAUUACAUACAAAUUUGAAUAACAUAUGUCAAAAUACCUAAACUUAACAUAUAUUUGAUUUGGUUUGAAUAUUUGGAUAGAUAAUCAAUAGAUAUUUCAAGUAUUUUUGGUGUUUUGAGUAUAUUUCAACUAUUUUAGACAUUUACUUUUGACUAUUUAUAUAUAUUUUCAAGUAUUUUGGAUAAUUAAAAAUAUCUUAUAUAUUCUGGAUGUUUUUAAUAGACAUUAAAUCUAAAAUAUAUUUAUAUAGAGGUUAUAGAAAUCUAUUUCGGAUACAUUCGAGUACCCGAAAAAUUUCGGUUCAAGUAGGGUUCGGUUCAGGUUCUUUAGAUACCAAAAUUUUAAAUCCGUUCGGUUAUUUAAUCAAUUUCGAUUCAGGUUCGGUACUACUUUUUCGGGUCGGAUCGGUUCGGUUCUUCGGAUUCGGAUUUUUUUGCCAGCCCUAGUAAAUAUCGUUAAAAAAAAAAUCAAAACAAAUAUUUGAGUAUCUUAAUUAGUUUAGAAACCGAAUAAAAACGAUAACGAACUCAGUUAGUUUUUUUUCGCGCAAUCUCCGACUCAUAUACUAUUAAACAAACCAAGGAGAACCUCAUUAUUCACCUGAUUGAAGCUUUUUUAUCAAACGAAACUCUCCUCUUGGAUUUUCAAAUUAUGAGUAGAAAUCAGAAUCUUCAAGAGAUCGCAAACCGUGUAUGAUUUUUAUUCUUUAUCUGUAAAUCCUUUAAUAUUCAUCUUACAUUGUAAUUUGUAUCAUGGUUCCCUCAGUUUAUUUCUCUAUCAUGUAUGAACUCUUAUAUAUCAAUAUUAAUAAUACAAUCAGGUUGACGUCCGAAAAAAACUACUAUGCAAAUAUUGUAAUAAAUGGAGAGACGUAUGAUCCAAUUAUAUUAUUAAUUACCUUAUAUUUUGACCAAUACCUAUUAGGAAAAGUAUCCUAACAAAAGCAUAAAGUUAUAUUUACAUAAUGUAUAAAAUAUAUGCAAUACCUUUUUAUUCACUACUUGAAUAUUUAAGACGAUUUUAUAAUUUUAAAAACAAAGGGAUAAACUUUAAGCAACACUAUGCACACUGCAUCUAGACUCUAUGAUUUUUAGAGAAUCUGAAAAAAUACAAAAAAAGAAGACGGAACAAAAAGAGGAUCUGAGGUAACAUUUUCAAAUACUAAAAUCAGAAGUAUUAUUCGAUAAAAAAAACUAAAGUAGUAGAGUAAAUAUCGUUAAAAAUCAAAACAAAUAUUUGAGAAUCUUAUGUAGAAACCGAAUAAAAACUACAACCCAACACAACAACUAUAUUAGUUAGUUUCUUUCGCGCAAUCUACGACUCAUAUUUAAACAAACCAAAGAGAACCUCAUUAUUCACUUGAUUGAAGCUUUUUUGUCAAACGAAACUCUCCUCUUGGAUUUUCAAAUUAUGAGUAGAAAUCAGAAUUUUCUAGAGAAGACCGCAAACCAUGUAUGUGUUUUUUAUAUACUUUUUUCUCUGCAAAUCCUUCAAUAUUCAUGACCCUUCUCAUUAGUUCUUUUCAAACUUUGUUUCAGAUCAAGGACGAAAUCGAAAGAUGUAUUAAAAAAUAUAUGAAUUUGGAACAAACCAUUACGUAUAUACAUGAAAAAUACCAUAUUCAUCAUGUUAUCACUAGCGCAAGUAAGUAAACAAUCAAAUUUGAUCUCAAUUUCCCAAUCUUUUCCUCCUGUAAAAUUUUGUUUUUGUUAGCAGUUUGGGAACGUCUUCAAGAAGGUAAUCCAGAUUUCUUCGAAGAAUACUACAAACGAUGCGAAGUUGCUCGUCAAAUAGCUGCAUUCAACGACUUGCUUGCUCAACAAGUAGACCUAAUGCACAAACUUAGAGAAAUUGAGCUUAGUAACGUUGCACCAGGUAACUAAUAAUAGUUAGAACACUAUUAUGUUUCUCGUUAAGUUUAUUACUCAAAUCGUUUUAUGAAAGACCUGAUUUGUGUGUCUUUUUGUAGUAACACAACUUCAGCAACCUAUUGAUCAAUUUCAUCAUCAUAAUGAUCAAGUUAAUCAUCACCAUCAUCAUCACCAUCAAGAUCAUAUUUAUGAUCAGUGGAUUGCAUCUAAUGAUUUUGCUUAUAUAGAGAACUCAGUCUCUUCUCUCAUUGACGCGUCAUGGAUUGCUGCACCACCACAAUCAAAUAUUUUUAAUUACGGUACUGAUUUUCAAGAUAUGAUGAGUAUAGAGCAAUUCACUAGAGAAUUAGAUCAACAACAACAAAUAUUGCAACUAAAAUCUCAGCAACCAGAACAUCUAACAGAUCAACAAGUAGAAUAUUGUCCUCAGAAGCAUGAUUAUACGACAUUACCUGUGCAACAAGUGCCUGCUCAAUCUCUGGCUUCUUUGAACAGUCUUGAUUUUGGUAAACUAGCUUUUUAAAAAAUCUUUUCACUCACAUACACAUACUACUAAAUAUGGUUUCUUUGUUUUUUUCUCUUGAAGCAGGUGAUGGAUUAACCAACAACAACGGCUCAACAGCAACAACAGGGAGUGGUGCAACAAAAGAAAUUCGCAAAAAUAAUCAGUAAUGGUCUAAAUGACCUUUUCUUGUUUCCUUUUUCUUCUUUUGGUCUGUUCCUUUACUUCAGAACACUUAUAUGAAAUAAAGGGAGCUGACAAUAAAGUGUAGAUAGAUAUUACGGGAAUGCAUAUUUUUUCUAGCGUUUGUGGGAAGAAUUAAAGAAAUAAUCCACAAGAUUUCUGCAAGAUAUUUUUUUAAAAAGAAUUAGUGUAAUAUUAGCAGCAAAAUUGAGAGAGAAUGGCCAACUUUACCAACGGUGGUGUUUAUUUUUAUUUUAUUUUUUUUGAAACACACCAACGGUGGUGUUACAAAAUAUGUUUUCUACUAGAAAACGGAUGUUAAAGAAAACCAGAAUACAGCUGGUUUUAAAUUAAAUGGGUAAAUUUGGUCUAAUCUUGUGGUACAGUUUUAGUUCCAGACUAGUAUUUAACAAUAACGAAAUUCCUACAUCGGAAGAAACAUAUUGUGUUUUAAUGUAUAUAAAAGUUACAAUUCACGAUUACUAGACUUCGAGCUUAGUAACGUUAGCUUGGAUCCAUGGAGACAUAAAGGUGACGAAACAAUUGGGUCGGGGGUUUGGUUUGGUUAGAGGAGGAUUAUCUACUGGCUAAGAAAGGAGUUCAGCGCCUGAAAUUGAGCUUAGGCUUGCAUGCUAGGCCUCUUUUAGUAUCGUAGAGCGGAUGGAUUAUUGGACACUGGUAGUCUGAACCAACUAUGACCCGGUUCCAAUUGGACCAUCAAAGGUUUUUCUAAUCUUAAUUUAUGGCAGCGGGGAAGCAAAUUGCUUAUUUACAUUUAUUUCUAUCCAAAACAAAAUCUUAAGAAGUUUCUUGUCUUUGUGAGACGAUCAGAAGAAUUCAUCAAAUCUAGUCUUUAGUUUUUGUUAUUGUUUUCUUCUGUUCGGUAGGUUAUAAUUUUUCUGAGUUGUUGGAUUUCAAGAGUGAGGUUGGGAACAAUGAAUAGCGUUGCUUCUUGGUUCCUUAGCGUUCUUGCUCAUGGACUAUUAUGAUAGUCGAGGGGUGGAUUAAUCUUAUCGUAUAUUCACAAUGGCGAGUCUUCUGUUUAUAAAGGAUGAUGAAGGAAUUAUAUUUUCCUAAUGAAUAUGAAAAAACUUAUUUUGACCUUACUCCCCAUUAAAAACUUAUUUUGACCUCAAGCAUCCAGAGACCAACAACAUCACAAAAUCAUUGAUGGUCACCAAAUUCAAAAAGAAGUUCUUAGCAAUCAGCGAUCACAAUAUGAGCUGUUAGGUUACAAGAGUGACGCUGGGACAAGGGCAGUGCUUCUUGGUUCCUUAACGACCGAAGAUGUUUUGCGAAUUUCAGAAAACAAUGGUUACAACAUGGAAGACAGAAGUUCAGAACAAGGGUUUUCAGUGUUCUGUUCCUUUUUUGAUAAGCUUGUGGUUUCUUGAGAUACAACUGGUCUUAUAUAUGUGGUAAAUCUUCUGCUUAAAGGAGUUUGAUACAGAUGUGUUAAUGGCUGCAUAUGAACCUAUUCUCAUCUAGUAGACUCCCAUCCAACGCUUUGUUAUUGUUGUUCCACAUGUCUGUAGUCUCAUGUGUGUUUCCCCUCUGAGCCAAAGUGCGUAUCCUCGAGAGAUGGUUUAAGUGUGAUGCCAGCUUCACUAUCUGGAAUUAUUCAAAUGCAUGAUAUCAUUGGAACAAUCACUCUCUACUUUCAAAGUCCAUUAAUGACUGGGGUCGUUUGGGGACCUCUGCUUGAGUUUGUUUGUGCCUCAAAAACAAAUUGAGCGGACAAUGUGAUGCAGAGUUAUCAUGAGAGCAAUGUCCAAUAAACAUACUAUCUCCAUGGAGGUACAAGAUUAGCCAAAUGUUUGGUCCUACUUCACCGUAACUCCCCCUCUCUUAGUGACUCAAGGGUGAAACGCUGUCGUAGGGAGUUUAAUCAAAAUGAUUUCAAGUUACUUAAUCCCACAUCGGAAGAAACAAGUUUUCCCUUGUUAUAUAUAUAAGUUUAGCUCACAACCACAGUACGUCGAGCUUAGUAACGCAGGCUUGUGAUCCAAGUGGAGACAACAAGAUGAUGGGACACUGAACCGAUCUCUUUGGGCCGGGUUCGGGUCAGGCUUUCUACUGGCUUGCCCAUUCCAAGUUGGGAGUUGAGGGUUCGGAUUCAAGCGAAGGCUUGUGGUUCGACCUCUCUUAGAGCGGAGGAGACUGCGUGAGGCUGGUUUCACAGAGCAGCGUCACCUCCCGCUUUCAACGGUGGAAGGAUCACGAGCCGGUGCCUUCCUAGCCCACUAUGACCCAAUAAGCCGGCUCCAAUCGGACCAUCAUCUUUUUACUUUUGAAAUGGCUGUUCUUCAUGUGAGAAUCUUAAUUUCCGUUGAUGCCUUGGGACAUUUCAUUUUUUGAGGUUAUUCCUUCAUAUAAACAUUUGUUUAUUAUGUAAGAAAGCAUACUUCUUCGAAUUGAUUGUUUGAACUAUGAAUUCAUCUGUUUUAUCGUAUAAAAACAUGUUUGAACCAAUGUUAUCUUCUGUGUCACGAAAAGCUGAAAAGGAA
rnacentral:lncRNA from 1 species